rnacentral:rRNA from 1 species
CCUACGGGAGGCAGCAGUGAGGAAUAUUGGUCAAUGGGCUUACGCCUGAACCAGCCAAGUCGCGUGAGGGAAGACUGCCCUAUGGGUUGUAAACCUCUUUUGUCAGGGAGCAACGCCGGCUACGUGUAGCCGGACUGAGAGUACCUGAAGAAAAAGCAUCGGCUAACUCCGUGCCAGCAGCCGCGGUAAUCCGGGGGAUGCGAGCGUUAUCCGGAUUUAUUGGGUUUAAAGGGUGCGUAGGCGGAAUGCCAAGUCAGCGGUAAAAUCGCGGGGCUCAACCUCGCUCCGCCGUUGAAACUGCCUUGCUGGAAUGCGGAUGCCGUGGGAGGAAUGUGUGGUGUAGCGGUGAAAUGCAUAGAUAUCACACAGAACACCGAUUGCGAAGGCAUCUCACGAAUCCGCGAUUGACGCUGAUGCACGAAAGCGUGGGUAUCAAACAGGAUUAGAUACCCUUGUAGUC